rnacentral:rRNA from 1 species
UGAGUACGAGACGCUAAGGCGUCGAAGUAGUGGAUGUCAUACUUCCAAGAAAAGCUUGCACUGUCAUAAAUAAAAACGCCUGUACCAUAACCGACACAGGUGGGUAGGUAGAGUAUACUAAGGGGCGCGAGAUAACUCUCUCUAAGGAACUCGGCAAAAUAACUCCGUAACUUCGGGAGAAGGAGUGCCUUAUUCGUAAGGCUGCAAUAACAAGAUCCAAGCAACUGUUUAUCAAAAACACAGGUCUCCGCUAAGUCGUAAGACGAUGUAUGGGGGCUGACGCCUGCCCAGUGCCAGAAGGUUAAAGAAGUCGGUUAGCAUUAGCGAAGCUGGUAACUGAAGCCCUGGUGAACGGCGGCCGUAACUAUAACGGUCCUAAGGUAGCGAAAUUCCUUGUCGGGUAAGUUCCGACCCGCACGAAAGGCGUAAUGAUUUGGAUACUGUCUCGGAGAGGGGCUCGGUGAAAUAGACUUGUCUGUGAAGAUGCGGACUACCUGCACCAGGACAGAAAGACCCUAUGAAGCUUUACUGUAACUUGAAAUUGAAAUUGGACUUUAUUCGCGCAGUAUAGGUGGGAGGUGUUGAUUAUAAUCUUGCGGGAUUAUUGGAGCCAUCAGUGAGAUACCACUCUUGUAAUGUUAGAUUUCUAACUUUGAAUCAUUAUCUGGUCAAAGAACAGUUUCAGGCGGGCAGUUUGACUGGGGCGGUCGCCUCCUAAAUGGUAACGGAGGCGUACAAAGGUUUCCUCUGAACGGGUAGAAAUCGUAUCUAGAGUGUAAAGGCAUAAGGAAGCUUGACUGUGAGACCUACAAGUCGAGCAGGGACGAAAGUCGGUCUUAGUGAUCUGACGGUACUGAGUGGAAAGGCCGUCACUCAACGGAUAAAAGUUACUCUAGGAUAACAGGCUGAUCUCCCCCAAGAGUUCACAUCGACGGGGAGGUUUGGCACCUCGAUGUCGGCUCAUCGCAUCCUGGGGCGGUAGUACGUCCCAAGGGUUGGGCUGUUCGCCCAUGAAAGCGGUACGCGAGCUGGGUUCAGAACGUCGUGAGACAGUUCGGUCCAUAUCCGGUGUAGGCGUUAGAAUAUUGAGAGGAGCCUUCUUUAGUACGAGAGGACCGAGAAGGACAUACCUCUGGUGUACCAGUUAUCGUGCCAACGGUAAACGCUGGGUAGCUAUGUAUGGAGUGGAUAACCGCUGAAAGCAUCUAAGUGGGAAGCCCACCUCAAGAUAAGUAUUCUC